rnacentral:rRNA from 1 species
UGGAUUAGUGGCGAACGGGUGAGUAACACGUGGGCAAUCUGCCCUUCACUCUGGGACAAGCCCUGGAAACGGGGUCUAAUACCGGAUAACACUCUGUCCCGCAUGGGACGGGGUUAAAAGCUCCGGCGGUGAAGGAUGAGCCCGCGGCCUAUCAGCUUGUUGGUGGGGUAAUGGCCUACCAAGGCGACGACGGGUAGCCGGCCUGAGAGGGCGACCGGCCACACUGGGACUGAGACACGGCCCAGACUCCUACGGGAGGCAGCAGUGGGGAAUAUUGCACAAUGGGCGAAAGCCUGAUGCAGCGACGCCGCGUGAGGGAUGACGGCCUUCGGGUUGUAAACCUCUUUCAGCAGGGAAGAAGCGAAAGUGACGGUACCUGCAGAAGAAGCGCCGGCUAACUACGUGCCAGCAGCCGCGGUAAUACGUAGGGCGCAAGCGUUGUCCGGAAUUAUUGGGCGUAAAGAGCUCGUAGGCGGCUUGUCACGUCGGAUGUGAAAGCCCGGGGCUUAACCCCGGGUCUGCAUUCGAUACGGGCUAGCUAGAGUGUGGUAGGGGAGAUCGGAAUUCCUGGUGUAGCGGUGAAAUGCGCAGAUAUCAGGAGGAACACCGGUGGCGAAGGCGGAUCUCUGGGCCAUUACUGACGCUGAGGAGCGAAAGCGUGGGGAGCGAACAGGAUUAGAUACCCUGGUAGUCCACGCCGUAAACGUUGGGAACUAGGUGUUGGCGACAUUCCACGUCGUCGGUGCCGCAGCUAACGCAUUAAGUUCCCCGCCUGGGGAGUACGGCCGCAAGGCUAAAACUCAAAGGAAUUGA